rnacentral:rRNA from 1 species
AUUGAACGCUGGCGGCAUGCUUUACACAUGCAAGUCGAACGGUAACAGGGAGCUUGCUCCGCUGACGAGUGGCGAACGGGUGAGGAAUGCGUCGGAACGUGCCGAGUAGUGGGGGAUAACGCAGCGAAAGUUGUGCUAAUACCGCAUACGUACUGAGGUAGAAAGUGGGGGACCUUCUGGCCUCACGCUAUUCGAGCGGCCGACGUCUGAUUAGCUAGUAGGGGAGGUAAAGGCUCACCUAGGCGACGAUCAGUAGCGGGUCUGAGAGGAUGAUCCGCCACACUGGGACUGAGACACGGCCCAGACUCCUACGGGAGGCAGCAGUGGGGAAUUUUGGACAAUGGGCGAAAGCCUGAUCCAGCCAUGCCGCGUGUCUGAAGAAGGCCUUCGGGUUGUAAAGGACUUUUGUCGGGGAGGAAAUCCCCAGCGUUAAUACCGCUGGGGGAUGACAGUACCUGAAGAAUAAGCACCGGCUAACUACGUGCCAGCAGCCGCGGUAAUAC